rnacentral:rRNA from 1 species
UACGGAGGGAGCUAGCGUUGUUCGGAAUUACUGGGCGUAAAGCGCGCGUAGGCGGCUUUGUAAGUUAGAGGUGAAAGUCCGGGGCUCAACCUCGGAUCGGCCGUGGCGACUCGUGGGCUGGAGCACUGUAGAGGCGGGUGGAAUUCCGGGUGUAGCGGUGGAAUGCGCAGAUAUCAGGAGGAACACCGGUGGCGAAGGCGGGUCUCUGGGCAGUAACUGACGCUGAGGAGCGAAAGCGUGGGGAGCGAACAGG